GAUGAACGCUGGCGGCGUGCCUAAUACAUGCAAGUCGAGCGAACUGAUUAGAAGCUUGCUUCUAUGACGUUAGCGGCGGACGGGUGAGUAACACGUGGGCAACCUGCUUGUAAGACUGGGAUAACUUCGGGAAACCGAAGCUAAUACCGGAUAGGAUCUUCUCCUUCAUGGGAGAUGAUUGAAAGACGGUUUCGGCUAUCACUUACAGAUGGGCCCGCGGUGCAUUAGCUAGUUGGUGAGGUAACGGCUCACCAAGGCAACGAUGCAUAGCCGACCUGAGAGGGUGAUCGGCCACACCGGGACUGAGACACGGCCCAGACUCCUACGGGAGGCAGCAGUAGGGAAUCUUCCGCAAUGGACGAAAGUCUGACGGAGCAACGCCGCGUGAGUGAUGACGGCUUUCGGGUCGUAAAACUCUGUUGUUAGGGAAGAACAAGUACAAGAGUAACUGCUUGUACCUUGACGGUACCUAACCAGAAAGCCACGGCUAACUACGUGCCAGCCGCCGCAGUAAGAC
rnacentral:rRNA from 1 species